rnacentral:misc_RNA from 1 species
AGAGAAUGCAAGUUCUGCAAAUCAGGAAAGACCAAUCUUUGUGGUAAAGUAAGGGCUGCUACUGGAGUGGGAGUUAUGAUGAACGACCGUAAGAGUCGAUUUUCUAUCAAUGGAAAACCGAUCUAUCAUUUCAUGGGAACUUCAACCUUCAGUCAGUACACUGUUGUCCAUGAUGUUAGUGUUGCAAAGAUUGACCCAGUAGCUCCUCUGGAGAAAGUCUGCCUUCUUGGAUGUGGUGUUCCAACUGGCCUUGGAGCUGUUUGGAACACUGCAAAAGUUGAACCAGGUUCCAUUGUUGCCGUCUUUGGCCUGGGAACAGUUGGUCUUGCUGUGGCGGAGGGUGCAAAAGCUGCUGGUGCUUCACGAAUUAUUGGAAUUGAUAUUGACAGCAAAAAGUUUGAUAGAGCCAAAAAUUUUGGUGUGACUGAAUUCAUUAAUCCCAAGGAGCAUGAGCAACCCAUUCAGCAAGUCAUUGUGGAUCUUACUGAUGGUGGUGUUGAUUACAGUUUUGAGUGCAUAGGAAAUGUCUCUGUUAUGAGGUCUGCUUUAGAGUGUUGUCACAAGGGUUGGGGAACCUCAGUGAUUGUAGGUGUUGCUGCUUCUGGUCAGGAGAUAUCUACACGUCCAUUUCAGCUGGUGACUGGUCGUGUUUGGAAGGGAACUGCUUUUGGUGGUUUCAAAAGCCGAUCACAAGUUCCUUCCCUCGUGGACAAGUAUUUAAAGAAGGAAAUCAAGGUGGAUGAAUACAUCACUCAUAACAUGACACUUGCGGACAUAAACAAAGCUUUCGACCUGAUGCAUGACGGGGACUGCCUCCGUGUUGUCCUGGAUAUGUUUGUAUGAAUGAAGUCUGUAGGCUCUUUAUGUUGCUUACUUUCUGUUUUUGUGCUAUUUCUCAGAGACUAUUUACCUUUCCCCUUGCUAAUUAUGUGUUGAAUAAAAAGAAAGUGAGAAAAAAAGGAUCAAGAUGACAGAUGAACUCUUUUUAAAUGGAUGGUAGUUUAUUAUCUUUUCAAGUAAAAUGUUCUUACUUUGAAGGCUAAAACCAUCAUUACUGGUUUUAGAGUUUGGCAUAAACCAUUGCCAUGUUUGCAUAAAUGGAAUCCUCCCUUUUCCAAAGUAGUCAAUUGGUCAU